rnacentral:rRNA from 1 species
AUUGAACGCUGGCGGCAGGCCUAACACAUGCAAGUCGAACGAGAGGGGGGCGGGUGAGUAAUGUAUGGGAAACGGCGUGAUGGAGGGGGACAACAACUGGAAACUGCAGCUACAUACGCUCACCAGAAGAUGGGCCGAAAUGGGAUUAGCUAGUGGGUGGGGUAAAGGCUCACAAAGGUGACGAACCCUACCGGGUCUGAGAGGAUGACCAGCCCCACUGGAACUGUGACCCGGUCCAGACUGCUACGUGAGGCAGCCGUGGGGAAUAUUGCACAAGGGGCGGAAGCCUGAUGCAGCCAUGCCGCGUGUAUGAAGAAGGCCUUCGGGUUGUAAAGUACUUUCAGCGGGGAGGCGUUACCCGCAGAAGAAGCACCGGCUAACUCCGUGCCAGCAGCCGCGGUAAUUC